rnacentral:lncRNA from 1 species
UUUUCUUCAACUGUAACAGGUGCAAUGUGACGCCCCCGAUUCGACCAUACACUAAUCAUACACGCAAAUGUGUACGAUCAAGAUCAGGGACUCACGGGAAGAUAUCACAGCACCACUCUAAACACAAAUUAAAAAAAAACAAGUUUUAUAUUACAAGCCAGGGGCCUCGAGGGCUCGAAUACAUAGCUCGAUACACAAGAGUCAGCGGAAGCAACAAUAUCUGAGUACAGACAUAAGUUAACCAAAGAUGCCUUAAGAAGGCUAACAUAAAAGCAACAACGAGAGAAGAGGCAAGGCCUCCUGCCUGGGACCCAAUAACUACUUCUGGUCGUCAGCGAUCUUCACGUAGUAGCAUCCAUUAGCGGUGGCAUCUGGCUCCAGGGAUCCACCAUCUGGUUGCAACAACCGGAAAGAAGAAAGAAGGGGGAAAAGGGGGUAGCAAAGCAACCGUGAGUACUCAUCCAAAGUACUCGCAAGCAUCAGAUCUAUACUAAGUAUGCAUUGAUAUGAAAUGGAAGAGUUGUAUCUGUGGACUGAACUGCAGAAUGCCAGAAUAGAGGGGGAAGGCCUAGCCUAUCGAAGACUAGCAUCUUCAAGCAGCUCCAAGCAUCUUGCAGCAUGUAGAAGAGUAAAGAGUAGCAUUUUAAUAUUUAACAAGCAUGUUGUAACAUCAACGCCCAGAGAUCCUUCCCCGACUCCCUGCGGGAAAGCAAUCUCGGAGCCACAUAUCCAUCACAUAUGUCAAGUAUCCAUUUCUAGUUAUAUAAGAUCAGGAUAUAAGUCUAAACGUCCAUUACCGUGGACAUGGUAUUCGAAUAUAUAUCUUCCCUGCAGGGGUGCCAUGUUACCCAACACGCUCGAUCACUCUGGCCGGGCACACCUUUCUGGGGUCAAUGCCCGGCCUCGGAAGAUCAACAUGUUGCAGCCCUACCUAGGCUCAGCAGAGAGGUCCCUGCCGGUCUACAUCCUAAGCACUCCCGGGUCUGGGCCCAUCGCCCGUUGCACUCUGGGUCAUUGUGAGAAAGCCGGACCAGGCUCCACCACUACAGGAUGGUGCCGCCCCAGCCGUGCCGCACUGUUGAACUGGAUGUCUGACAAAGCUUCGGCUGAUACCAUGACGUCGAGGCUCAUAACUAUUCUCGCGUGGUGGUUAGUGCGUAAAUGCCAAAGGCCAACUCAGAACAAAUACCCGAACCUGUUAGUGCGUUGGGGGCUCGCGGAAACGAGCAUAGACUCAUGAAUAUGGGACCCCGUCGCCUCGUCUCGUGGACUUACAACAAGGGCCCAGACUGCCCGGCCGUGCCACAUAGGAAACUCGCGGGUGCUCUACGGGCCCGCCCGACUUUCACAUCAACUUGCGGGUAUCCCUCAGGGCCGACCCAACUUCAACAAUGGUCUCAAGUAAAGUCAAGGUAACCGUGUGUCCAAAACAUCAAGGAAGAAAACCCGAGGAAUCACCCCCGGUGGAUUCCACUCAAUGUAAUCAGCAAGGUGAAUGUAAGAGGGACCACCCUCGAGGUUCACACUUGAGGUGUUGAACGACAGAGGCAUAUCGGGAAUGGUGAAAGAGGAAAUCACCCUUGAUGACCAUGAUUGAAUAGCUACACUACAUAAUUAUCAUCAUGAGUCCAUUAAGAGGGAUCGGCCUAGGCACUCGAUAGUAGCUCUACAGAGUUGAGCAACAAAAGGGGCGUGAUGUGAUGUGAGGUGUCAGGCUCUGGUCAUCGAUCACGUUGCUCGAGUCGUCGAAGAUGAAGCAGGGGCAACAAGGACAAUGUGGGGGUCCCUGAUGGAUCACUAACCAACCUAUACUAAGCAGUUUAGGAUAAGAAGGUAAGGUACAGUGAGAAGGUUACAAAAGCAGGCUAUGCAUUAGAAUAGGAGCAAACAAUAACAAUAGCAAAAUCUAAUGCAAGCAUGAGAGAAUGGAAUUGGCAAUAUCGGGAUGAUCAAGGGGGGGGGGGCUUGCCUGGUUGCUCAGACAAGAAGGAGGGUCGUCGUCGGCGUAGUCGAUCACAGUGGCAUCAGCAGCGGUCUCAGGGUCUACCGGAGAGAAGAGGGGGAAGAAACAGUAAAUACACGCAAACAUAUGCAUAACAUGACAACAAGCGAGGCUAGAGGUGUUCGAACGCGGAGGUAGGUGAUACUGGCGAAGGGGGAAAACAUCCGGGAAAGUUUUCCCGGUUCCGGACGUUUGUCUGACAGAUGAACCGGAGGGAGAAAGUUGCAUGUUUGUUAUGCUAGGGGCAUGUGACAGAUGAACGGACCGCAUAUUCGGAUUCGUCUCGUAGUUAUGAGCAACUUUCAUGUAUAAAACUUUUUCAUCCGAGUUACGGAUUAUUUUAUAUGAUUUUUCAAAGUUUUAAUAAUAUUCAGAAAUUAUUAAUAAAUCGAAAAUAAAGAUUAAUUGCUAGGUGCACCCAACACAGGGUUCACAAAAGUGCACCCAGUGGUUGACAGGUGGACCAGGGGAACCCGGUUGACCAGUCACGUUUGACUGGUCAAUAGGGGGUGGGGCCCGCCUGUCAUUGACUCACUUAACUAAUUACUUGAUUAAUUUGGCUAACUAAUUAGUCAGUUUAACUAAGCCAUUUUAAUUAAGUUAAUGAACUAAUUAAUUAACUAAUUAGUUAGUUUAUUAUUAAUAUUUUUUAAAUCUCCUUUUUUUUAACAAAACAGGGGAGGGGCCCCAGCUGUCAAAGGCCCUAUGGCCUUAGCGGGCGACGGGCUACGGGCGCUGUGGCAGCCACUGGCAACCGGUGGCGACCGGGAACAGGAAGCAGGGACCGCGGUGGUGCUAGGCAGCGGGAGCGGGGAGGGGUGCGAUGCGUGGGAACGCGGUAGCAGGCGAGCGAGGACGCACGGUGUGAGCGCUCACGCGUGGGAGUACCGAGCGCCGAGUCGGGAAGGCUCGGGCGGCGGUCUAAACGGCGGCACCAGAGGGGGGAGGAAGGAGGCUUCGACGGAGUGGCUCACGGGUGUUGACGAGAAGGCUUGGGGACGCCAGAGGAGCCCGAGCUGAUGCGGAUCAACGCGGUGGAGCUCGACGUCUGGAGGAAGAAGAAGACGGUGAUCUGGCGAUGGAGAGGCGAUGGGCUUGAGGUCUUCGGUGUAGGCGAAGCAGUGGACCCCGACGGUUCUACUGGACAAGGUCGCAGCCGGUGGGGAGCUCGGUGGGCACGGGAUCGAGCGUGGCCAUGGCGACGGAGUCUUUGAGCGUCGCCGAAACCGAGAGUCAGAGAGGGGAACGAGG